rnacentral:rRNA from 1 species
AGAGUUUGAUCCUGGCUCAGGAUGAACGCUGGCGGCGUGCUUAACACAUGCAAGUCGAGCGAAGCACCUUGACGGAUUUCUUCGGAUUGAAGCCUUUGUGACUGAGCGGCGGACGGGUGAGUAACGCGUGGGUAACCUGCCUCAUACAGGGGGAUAACAGUUAGAAAUGACUGCUAAUACCGCAUAAGCGCACGGUGCUGCAUGGCACAGUGUGAAAAACUCCGGUGGUAUGAGAUGGACCCGCGUCUGAUUAGCUAGUUGGUGGGGUAACGGCCUACCAAGGCGACGAUCAGUAGCCGGCCUGAGAGGGUGAACGGCCACAUUGGGACUGAGACACGGCCCAAACUCCUACGGGAGGCAGCAGUGGGGAAUAUUGCACAAUGGGGGAAACCCUGAUGCAGCGACGCCGCGUGAGCGAAGAAGUAUUUCGGUAUGUAAAGCUCUAUCAGCAGGGAAGAAAAUGACGGUACCUGACUAAGAAGCCCCGGCUAACUACGUGCCAGCAGCCGCGGUAAUACGUAGGGGGCAAGCGUUAUCCGGAUUUACUGGGUGUAAAGGGAGCGUAGACGGCAUGGCAAGCCAGAUGUGAAAGCCCGGGGCUCAACCCCGGGACUGCAUUUGGAACUGUCAGGCUAGAGUGUCGGAGAGGAAAGCGGAAUUCCUAGUGUAGCGGUGAAAUGCGUAGAUAUUAGGAGGAACACCAGUGGCGAAGGCGGCUUACUGGACGAUCACUGACGUUGAGGCUCGAAAGCGUGGGGAGCAAACAGGAUUAGAUACCCUGGUAGUCCACGCCGUAAACG